rnacentral:rRNA from 1 species
GGCAGCGUACCGGCGCCCAACUGACGCUCAUGCACGAAAGCGUGGGUAUCGAACAGGAUUAGAUACCCUGGUAGUCCACGCAGUAAACGAUGAAUACUCGCUGUCCGGGGAGAUUGGUCUCUGGGCGGCCAAGCGAAAGCGUUAAGUAUUCCACCUGGGGAGUACGCCGGCAACGGUGAAACUCAAAGGAAUUGACGGGGGCCCGCACAAGCGGAGGAACAUGUGGUUUAAUUCGAUGAUACGCGAGGAACCUUACCCGGGCUCAAACGACGGAUGAAUACUUUUGAAAGGAGGUAGUCCUUCGGGACAUCCGUCGAGGUGCUGCAUGGUUGUCGUCAGCUCGUGCCGUGAGGUGUCGGCUUAAGUGCCAUAACGAGCGCAACCCCCAUCGCCAGUUGCCAACAGGUAAAGCUGGGAACUCUGGCGAGACUGCCGGCGCAAGCUGUGAGGAAGGCGGGGAUGACGUCAAAUCAGCACGGCCCUUACGUCCGGGGCGACACACGUGUUACAAUGGCAGGUACAGAGAGAUGCGACACGGCGACGUGGAGCGGAACUGUCAAAACCUGUCUCAGUUCGGAUCGGAGUCUGCAACCCGACUCCGUGAAGCUGGAUUCGCUAGUAA